CGACCCCUAAGGCGAGGCCGAAAGGCGUAGUCGAUGGGAAACAGGUUAAUAUUCCUGUACUUGGUGUUACUGCGAAGGGGGGACGGAGAAGGCUAUGUUGGCCGGGCGACGGUUGUCCCGGUUUAAGCGUGUAGGCUGGUUUUCCAGGCAAAUCCGGAAAAUCAAGGCUGAGGCGUGAUGACGAGGCACUACGGUGCUGAAGCAACAAAUGCCCUGCUUCCAGGAAAAGCCUCUAAGCAUCAGGUAACAUCAAAUCGUACCCCAAACCGACACAGGUGGUCAGGUAGAGAAUACCAAGGCGCUUGAGAGAACUCGGGUGAAGGAACUAGGCAAAAUGGUGCCGUAACUUCGGGAGAAGGCACGCUGAUAUGUAGGUGAAGCGACUUGCUCGUGGAGCUGAAAUCAGUCGAAGAUACCAGCUGGCUGCAACUGUUUAUUAAAAACACAGCACUGUGCAAACACGAAAGUGGACGUAUACGGUGUGACGCCUGCCCGGUGCCGGAAGGUUAAUUGAUGGGGUUAGCGCAAGCGAAGCUCUUGAUCGAAGCCCCGGUAAACGGCGGCCGUAACUAUAACGGUCCUAAGGUAGCGAAAUUCCUUGUCGGGUAAGUUCCGACCUGCACGAAUGGCGUAAUGAUGGCCAGGCUGUCUCCACCCGAGACUCAGUGAAAUUGAACUCGCUGUGAAGAUGCAGUGUACCCGCGGCAAGACGGAAAGACCCCGUGAACCUUUACUAUAGCUUGACACUGAACAUUGAGCCUUGAUGUGUAGGAUAGGUGGGAGGCUUUGAAGUGUGGACGCCAGUCUGCAUGGAGCCGACCUUGAAAUACCACCCUUUAAUGUUUGAUGUUCUAACGUUGACCCGUAAUCCGGGUUGCGGACAGUGUCUGGUGGGUAGUUUGACUGGGGCGGUCUCCUCCUAAAGAGUAACGGAGGAGCACGAAGGUUGGCUAAUCCUGGUCGGACAUCAGGAGGUUAGUGCAAUGGCAUAAGCCAGCUUGACUGCGAGCGUGACGGCGCGAGCAGGUGCGAAAGCAGGUCAUAGUGAUCCGGUGGUUCUGAAUGGAAGGGCCAUCGCUCAACGGAUAAAAGGUACUCCGGGGAUAACAGGCUGAUACCGCCCAAGAGUUCAUAUCGACGGCGGUGUUUGGCACCUCGAUGUCGGCUCAUCACAUCCUGGGGCUGAAGUAGGUCCCAAGGGUAUGGCUGUUCGCCAUUUAAAGUGGUACGCGAGCUGGGUUUAGAACGUCGUGAGACAGUUCGGUCCCUAUCUGCCGUGGGCGCUGGAGAACUGAGGGGGGCUGCUCCUAGUACGAGAGGACCGGAGUGGACGCAUCACUGGUGUUCGGGUUGUCAUGCCAAUGGCACUGCCCGGUAGCUAAAUGCGGAAGAGAUAAGUGCUGAAAGCAUCUAAGCACGAAACUUGCCCCGAGAUGAGUUCUCCCUGACUCCUUGAGAGUCCUGAAGGAACGUUGAAGACGACGACGUUGAUAGGCCGGGUGUGUAAGCGCAGCGAUGCGUUGAGCUAACCGGUACUAAUGAACCGUGAGGCUUAACCUU
rnacentral:rRNA from 1 species